GCCUGGGUGGCUCAGUCGGUUAAGCUUCUGACUUCAGCUCAGGUCAUGAUCUCGCCUUCUGUGAGUUCAAGCCCCACGUCAGGCU
rnacentral:tRNA from 1 species